AUGAGAAGAGGUGAGUGUGAAAAACAAGGUGUUGAGUGCGAGAAAGUAGAUGGUGGGAAUGAAGAAACUGAUUUAGAAAAUGAAGAUUAUAUCUACACCAACUCUGUGUUACCUUAG